AGCGCUGCUUCAGCUUGCUCAGCUCCUGCCGCAGCAGGUCCUCGUAGGGCAGCUCCACCGAGGAGAAGACCACGGCGCCGAACACCAGGUGCUGGGCAAAGCAGAAGAAGGUGCUGCCAGAGACGGAGCGGUGUGAAACAGGAGGCUGAAUAUCGGUUGGGGGAUGUGAUGUGCUCAAGGAGGAAUCCUGAUGGCAGGUGUUAACAUCCUCCCUCAGGUCUACAACUCUAAAACGGGCCCAGUGGGGGUGCAGGUUGAACCAAGUAACCUCCAGAAACACCAUCCAAGCUAAACGAGUCUUGACUUCUGUGCAGCGCUCCUGGAGAUACUUACUUUUUAACAGUACAAAGUACCUGGCUAGUGCUUGGAGCACUGCCUGUGACAAAUACAAAUGCUCUGUCCAGCCAGCCCUCUGCGUGGUCCGAACCAGUGAUCUUCUCAAGUUUCACUUCACAGGCUUCUUUCUUCAUCCGUCUCAAACUCGGACCAGCAGUCAUACAGUUAACCCGCAAAGAAGUUCCCCACCACAUGAAAAGGAGCAGUGAAACCUGUAGCUUCCCUAGGUGUCCAUUAAGGUGACUAAAGGCAGCAUCUGGUGAAGAAGAAAGAGGAGAUUCACCGGUCACAUCCUGCAGGGCUCUGCCACUUCAUGUCUCAGCUGAUGGCAACUUGCAGUCACAGAAACCAAGUAUAGCUUGUAAAUUAGAAACUUACUGGGGCUCAGUCAGUUAGUUUGGACAGAAUAUAUAAAAUCCAGCAACACGUCUUAUGGCAUGAGGUACCUCACUAAGCUGUAAGGAAUAAAAUGGGAAAAGAAUACAAAAAUGAAAGGCACAAAACAAUUUUCACACUAGAAACUUAAAACUACGUGUCAACGUUCCGUUCCAUACAAAAGCUAUGCUGGGCUGUGGGAUGAAUCUGGCCUGGCAGAACUGCUCAACCAGUUGCCCGCCCAUUCCCCACUGCCAGCUACAGCUGACUUGUUCCGGGGCCUUACCCCUCCGCCCCCAGUCUUGUUGCAUGAUCAAAAUGUAAAUGUGUUCAUGCGUGCAAAAAGCAGCUGCAUGAAUGAUGGUAAAUAGCACGCUCGGGGGAUGUGAUAGGCACAUAUCUGACAGGCCCAGCGAGCAGACUCUUGAUGCUGUGCCAGGAGUGCAAACGUGUUCUGACCUACAAAUGUGCGCCUGUCAUGUGCGUGCAGGUGCACCUUUUACAACCACGUUCGAUCAGACAAUCGGUAAGGGGCACUGUGGGCACUUGGGUGUUUUGGUAGGAAGAUAAACUUUUCUCCCACGACUGAACUCCUGAACUGUUGCAAGAGAAAUGGUUCCAAACAGCCUUCUUCACAUGUAUAACUUGUAGCACUGGGCAGCAGUGCAGCAUAAUUAAAUUAGGGGAGGGGUUUGAAAUGAGCAACUGAAAAACAUCUAUACUGUAUAUCCAGAGGUUAAUUGGCAGAAGGAUGGACAUAGGCAGUGAUGUCACGACCCUACGCCACCACUUCAGCACCUUUCGUCAGCAUCAGUGUAUAUUUAAAAUUUAUUUCUUUGCUGUAAACCAGUGAUGUGUAGGAAAAAGGUGAUCUACAUCAACAGCAAUGGCAAUUAGUAAUGGGUACUGUCUGAAAGAAUGUAAUGCAGACAAGCUUUUGAAGGGAGUAUUCCAAACAAAUGUUUUAUUGCAUUGCACUAAGACAGCAUGCAUUUAAGCAUCGUUACAGAACAAGAGGUCAAGGAACCUCAUUGACCAAUUUGGUAUGCUUGGCUAACUCCAUCCAAUUACUUAAUCACUUGUCCCCUCGAUUUCCAAAUGACUGAGUAUCUCCAUCUGUAAUAGAAAAGCCAUUUAAAACAAUAUGUGUGACAUACUGG